rnacentral:lncRNA from 1 species
UCAUCAAUUUGGCAUUGGUUCUCUUUAACUCACGAGGGGUGGGGGAUAUCUUAUGUGAAUAUUGUAGCUAAUUUCCAUAAUAUUAUCAAGCAACAAUUCCAUAGGUCUCGGCCUGUGGGAAAUUUUAGAUUAUAUUUUGAUGAAAGUUCCCGGGUAAUUCUGGACCAGUUGGUUGUGGUGGAGUUUUAAGGCGUCCACAUGUUAGGAUUAUCUUCAAUUAUCAUGGCCCGUGUGGAUCUACCAUUGCAAACCAUAUUUGAACUACGCUAUUUAUGUUAAUGAUUAUUACUUUGUAGAGAUAAAGGUGUUACUAAGCAUAUUAUCAUUGAAGGAGAUUCUAAAUUAGUGUUUGCAAAAUCGAACCGAAACAGUUAAUCGAAUAUGGGUUUGGAAGCGGUUUAACCGGCUUAACCGGUAAACCAGUCGAUUCAACCGCUCUAACCGGACAAGUCCCGU